rnacentral:tRNA from 2 species
GGAGAGCUGACCGAGAGGCCGAAGGUGCUCGCCUGCUAAGCGAGUAAGGGCCCCAAAGCCCUUCUGGGGUUCGAAUCCCCAGCUCUCCGCCA